GAUGAACGCUAGCUACAGGCUUAACACAUGCAAGUCGAGGGGUAACGAGAGGGAAGCUUGCUUUCCUUGUCGACGACCGGCGCACGGGUGAGUAACGCGUAUCCAACCUGCCCCCAACUAAGGAAUAACCUUGCGAAAGUAAGACUAAUACCCUAUAAUUUCCUCAGAUGACAUCUGACGAGGAAUAAAGAUUUAUCGGUUGUGGAUGGGGAUGCGUCUGAUUAGCUUGUUGGCGGGGUAACGGCCCACCAAGGCAACGAUCAGUAGGGGUUCUGAGAGGAAGGUCCCCACAUUGGAACUGAGACACGGUCCAAACUCCUACGGGAGGCAGCAGUGAGGAAUAUUGGUCAAUGGGCGGAAGCCUGAACCAGCCAAGUAGCGUGCAGGAUGACGGCCUUAUGGGUUGUAAACUGCUUUUAUACAGGAAUAAAGUUAGCCACGUGUGGUUAUUUGUAGGUACUGUAUGAAUAAGGACCGGCUAAUUCCGUGCCAGCCGCCGCAGUAA
rnacentral:rRNA from 1 species